UCGGGUAAGAAAACCCUGCAUGUGUUAGUUUAAAGACCAAGUAGGAUGAAACUGCGGACGGCUCAUUAUAACAGUAAUAGUUUCUUUGGUUAGUAGGUACAAGGAUAACUUUGUGAAUGAUAAAGCUAAUACUUGAGACGAUCCGGGAAGUAUUUAUACUUCUCGGCCCCUGGCCGCAAGGUUGGCAAAAAAUGACAUUCUCUUGUGAAAAAGGAUGCCACGACAAUUGAGGAAAGCAACGCUUUUUACAAGUAACCAAUGGAAAUUUCUGAUCUAUCAAUUUGUUGGUAGUAUCGAGGACUACCAAGAUUAUAACGGAUAACGAGGAAUUGGGGUUCGACAUCGGAGAGGGAGCUUUACAGAUGGCUACCACUUCUAAGGAAGGCAGCAGGCGCGUAAAUUACCCCCUUUCUACCCGAAAAGGUAGUGACGACAAAUAACCCUUGGGGCCCCUCGGGUGGCUUGGAGGGAUGGAUUAAAAAUAAAUUUCUCUAAAAAAACCAAUGGAAGGGCAGGUUGGGUGCCACCGCCCGCGGAAUUUCUUGCUCCAUAAGGGAA
rnacentral:rRNA from 1 species